rnacentral:rRNA from 1 species
AGCAGCCGCGGUAAUUCCAGCUCCAAUAGCGUAUAUUAAAGUUGUUGCAGUUAAAAAGCUCGUAGUUGAAUUUCGGGGUCAGUAGGCUGGUCGUGCCACAGGUACGUACUGGUCUCACUGAUUCCUCCUUCCUGAUGAACCGUAAUGCCAUUAAUUUGGUGUUGCGGGGAAACUGGACUGUUACUUUGAAAAAAUUAGAGUGUUUAAAGCAAGCUAACGCUUGAAUACAUUAGCAUGGAAUAAUGAAAUAGGACGUUCGAUCCUAUUUUGUUGGUUUCUAGGAUUGACGUAAUGAUUAAUAGGGAUAGUUGGGGGCAUUAGUAUUCAAUUGUCAGAGGUGAAAUUCUUGGAUUUAUUGAAGACUAACUACUGCGAAAGCAUUUGCCAAGGAUGUUUUCAUUAAUCAAGAACGAAAGUUAGGGGAUCGAAGACGAUCAGAUACCGUCGUAGUCUUAACCAUAAACUAUGCCGACUAGGAAUCGGAUGAUGUUAAUUUUUUAAUGACUCAUUCGGCGCCUUACG